UUCCGGUUGAUCCUGCCGGACCUGACUGCUAUCGGAUUGAUACUAAGCCAUGCGAGUCAUUGUAGCAAUACAAGGCAUACGGCUCAGUAACGCGUAGUCAACCUAACCUAUGGACGGGAAUAACCUCGGGAAACUGAGAAUAAUGCCCGAUAGAACAUUAUGCCUGGAAUGGUUUAUGUUCCAAAUGAUUUAUCGCCGUAGGAUGGGACUGCGGCCUAUCAGUUUGUUGGUGAGGUAAUGGCCCACCAAGACUAUUACAGGUACGGGCUCUGAGAGAAGUAGCCCGGAGAUGGGUACUGAGACACGGACCCAGGCCCCAUGGGGCGCAGCAGGCGAGAAAACUUUGCAAUGUGCGAAAGCACGACAAGGUUAAUCCGAGUGGUUUCUGCUAAAGAAACCUUUUGUCAGUCCUAGAAACACUGAUGAAUAAGGGGUGGGCAAGUUCUGGUGUCAGCCGCCGCGGUAAAACCAGCACCUCAAGUGGUCAGGAUGAUUAUUGGGCCUAAAGCAUCCGUAGCCGGCUCUGUAAGUUUUCGGUUAAAUCUGUACG
rnacentral:rRNA from 1 species